GAUGAAGAACGUAGCGAAAUGCGAUAAGUAAUGUGAAUUGCAGAAUUCAGUGAAUCAUCGAAUCUUUGAACGCACAUUGCGCCCGCCGGUAUUCCGGCGGGCAUGCCUGUCCGAGCGUCAUUUCAACCCUCAAGCACAGCUUGGUGUUGGGACUCGCGUUAAUUCGCGUUCCCCAAAUUGAUUGGCGGUCACGUCGAGCUUCCAUAGCGUAGUAGUAAAACCCUCGUUACUGGUAAUCGUCGCGGCCACGCCGUUAAACCCCAACUUCUGAAUGUUGACCUCGGAUCAGGUAGGAAUACCCGCUGAACUUAAGCAUAUCAAUAAGCGGAGGA
rnacentral:misc_RNA from 1 species